ensembl:lncRNA
GUUAUUUUUUUGUCUCAGUGCCACUAAACACAUUGACUUCUCCUCCCUUCUGUCCCUUCCUUGCCUUUUGUAUUUUUCUCUUGCUUGUUGGUUUUGUCUGUGAAGCCGCCGGAUGACCAGAGCACGGAUUUCACCUCGUCCUUGAGAUAAGACAGGAGAUAUAAGAAUAGAGAGAGCGCGACACACACACAUUACCCCUACACACAGCGACCGAUCCGACAUCGAAACACGGGGAAGACGCAAUCACCGAGACCCGUCAAUCUCCUUUCUUGUCUUCUUCCUCUCCUCCUCUCCUAGCGUCCUAAUAACUUUGAUCGUCCAGUCCAAGUGUGUGUGUGUGUGUGUGAGUGUGUGUGUGUUCAUCCUGGUCUGUCCAUUCUCAUGACCAUCAACAAGGCAUGGCGUCCAGUAUUUCUUUAG